GUUCUUGAUCAUGACAAUUAAGUGUUUGGCUUCUUAUCCUAAUGGACAGCUGGGAUGAAGGGAAGUGAAAAUCUGAAAAGUAGCUAGUCUGUAUGGUUGACCCUGCUUCCAUUCCUGUAAAUCUUUGAAUCUGUCUUCCUCUUUCGCAGAGUGAUAUUCCUGGAAUACCCAUUGGCACAAGUCCCAAGAACUAGUAAGUCUUAAAAUACAAGCAACCUUCUUAAGCUCAGCAGGCCAAAAGUCACAGACUCUGGGACUUGCUUUCUAAUCAAGCAGGCAAACUAUACUGAAUCAAGAUAGAAACUCUUCAAAAAUCUUUGAACACUUCUUACAUUGAAGUGAUGCUGAAACUACAUUUUAAGGAGGAGAAAAGAGUUCAAGAAAUACAGAGGUCAUGAUUGCCAUGUCAAUCUGGAGUAUCAGAAAACAUUUCUCCACAAGGCAGAAGAGAUGCAAAAUGAGCAAGGCAUGCUGUGGGUCACCCACAAGAUGGCAAUAGCGGGAUAAGUUCGUAAAAGUUCAAUGAAAAAAAGUUUAUGAUACUGUCCUCUGCUUCUGAUACCUGGAAAUUUAAUUUGGAUCACAAAAAAAGCUAAGACACAAGUUGGUU